rnacentral:rRNA from 1 species
GACGUAGGGGGCCAGCGUUGCUCGGAAUUACUGGGCGUAAAGGGUUCGUAGGCGGUGCGGCAAGUCGGAAGUGAAAUCUCCAGGCUUAACUUGGAGGCUGCUCCCGAUACUGCCGUGCUAGAGUGCGGGAGAGGCGAGUGGAAUUGCAGGUGUAGCGGUGAAAUGCGUAGAUAUCUGGAGGAACACCGGCGGCGAAGGCGGCAUUCUGGACUACAACUGACACUGAGGAACGAAAGCCAGGGGAGCAAACGGG